ACCGGCGCGCGGGUGAGUAACACGUAUCCAACCUGCCGUCUACUCUUGGACAGCCUUCUGAAAGGAAGAUUAAUACAAGAUGGCAUCAUGAGUCCGCAUGUUCACAUGAUUAAAGGUAUUCCGGUAGACGAUGGGGAUGCGUUCCAUUAGAUAGUAGGCGGGGUAACGGCCCACCUAGUCUUCGAUGGAUAGGGGUUCUGAGAGGAAGGUCCCCCACAUUGGAACUGAGACACGGUCCAAACUCCUACGGGAGGCAGCAG
rnacentral:rRNA from 1 species